GGUAGUCCACCCCGUAAACGUUGGGAACUAGUUGUGGGGACCAUUCCACGGUUUCCGUGACGCAGCUAACGCAUUAAGUUCCCCGCCUGGGGAGUACGGCCGCAAGGCUAAAACUCAAAGGAAUUGACGGGGACCCGCACAAGCGGCGGAGCAUGCGGAUUAAUUCGAUGCAACGCGAAGAACCUUACCAAGGCUUGACAUAUACGAGAACGGGCCAGAAAUGGUCAACUCUUUGGACACUCGUAAACAGGUGGUGCAUGGUUGUCGUCAGCUCGUGUCGUGAGAUGUUGGGUUAAGUCCCGCAACGAGCGCAACCCUCGUUCUAUGUUGCCAGCACGUAAUGGUGGGAACUCAUGGGAUACUGCCGGGGUCAACUCGGAGGAAGGUGGGGAUGACGUCAAAUCAUCAUGCCCCUUAUGUCUUGGGCUUCACGCAUGCUACAAUGGCCGGUACAAAGGGCUGCAAUACCGUGAGGUGGAGCGAAUCCCAAAAAGCCGGUCCCAGUUCGGAUUGAGGUCUGCAACUCGACCUCAUGAAGUCGGAGUCGCUAGUAAUCGCAGAUCAGCAACGCUGCGGUGAAUACGUUCCCGGGUCUUGUACACACCGCCCGUCAAGUCAUGAAAGUCGGUAACACCUGAAGCCGGUGGCCCAACCCUUGUGGAGGGAGCCGUCGAAGGUGGGAUCGGUAAUUAGGACUAAGUCGUAACAAGGUAGCCGUACCGGAAGGUGC
rnacentral:rRNA from 1 species